UACGUAGGGAGCGAGCGUUGUCCGGAAUUACUGGGUGUAAAGGGAGCGUAGGCGGGACUGCAAGUUGAAUGUGAAAUGUAUGGGCUUAACCCAUAAGCUGCGUUCAAAACUGUAGUUCUUGAGUGAAGUAGAGGCAGGCGGAAUUCCUAGUGUAGCGGUGAAAUGCGUAGAUAUUAGGAGGAACACCAGUGGCGAAGGCGGCCUGCUGGGCUUUUACUGACGCUGAGGCUCGAAAGCAUGGGGAGCAAACAGG
rnacentral:rRNA from 1 species